AUGAUCUCAGAUGGACGUGGUUUUGCUAACAUACUACUUGCUGACAGUAAGAUAAGCUGGGAGAGCUGGAGCAUGCACCCCUGUGGUAGAUCAGCAGAAGUUUCGAUGUGGACAAGGCUAGGAAGAGGGAUUGGCUCCGCUGCCCACCCAACAAAAAUGCAGACAGCAAUUGGUUGGAUGGCUGAUACUGGUAGGAAUCUGCAGUUCUUCACCAGCACUGAGAGCCUACACCAUCUUCUUUGGAAACUCCAGGUUUCAUGAGAAAGAUUGAGCAGCAGCUGGCAUGAUAAGGCAUGCAUACUCAUGUCCAAACAUAUGCAUCCUGGGUGUGGUAUGAAGAACAACGUCAAGGGACAUGAGCCUUCAGGCCUGGGUCCUGGAUGGAAAGAGCUCUCACAGUGGAGGAGCACUUACGUGGUGAGACCUAGCAGGGCAGCUCUCUCUUAAAAGGGUUUUCCAUUCCAAAUAAAUGAGAGACACCAACAAGCUGCUAAAUAAUU
rnacentral:lncRNA from 1 species